UUGGGCCUAAAAAAAAAAAUUGUUUGGUUCCGGUUUCCGACCGACCCUGUCAAUUCAUGUGCGACCGAAAUUAUUUUAUGAGCUUUAUAAAUUUUUUUUUUUUUUGAUGCAAACUAUAAUUACGUUUUGGUACAGCACCUCUUCAUUCUGUACAAGGAUGAGCGAAUUUUCUCGUUUUUAAAUGAAAACAACCUACCUAUCAUUCGCUGCCGCUGGAAAAAAAUAAAAUAAAAAAAUAAAAUAAAUUCCCUACCUACCCAUGACCUCAACUGACAACCAACAGGAACCAAACUUUUUUUUUUUUUAGGCCUUGACCCCCACAUUGCUGCUCGCAGCUAUAUUUUUAGUUUCAUUUUAUAGUGGUUAAUACUUGAAAUGUUAUUGUUUGUUUAAAUGAUACUAAUCCGCAACAAAUACAAACUAAAGCCAUUAAUGCAACUAAAUGUUUUUGGAACUGACUGAAAAAUGGAAAACAUUAUUAUGUGACACGACAUUUAAAACUGACGCAUUAGUUCGGUCUUUCAGCGUGAACCUCUCAAAUCAGCUGCAGCAAAUGAAGACAAGCGCGACGUCCCCGGCCCGGGAAGUCUUCUGGCAGGUUGGGAGAGCCUUUCAUUACGGAUGACUUUGAAGAUGUCCGCCAUAUAUAAUCAAAUCACCUUGUACUCGCUUCUCACAGUAUCAUUUCAGAUGCUUGUUGGUUUUGUGGCUUUAAGUGAGAAAAGACACACGACAGGUGUCUCAAGUAAUUAAACAGAUAAACAAGCAGAAGAGACACACAAAGCAAAGGAAACCGUCUGAGAGAGUAGGAGAUGCCCCUCUGCAAUUCAUUUGUUUGCUACACAAUGGUUUCAUUACGUUUCCGAUAUUACGGAACAAUUUCUAUAAUCAACAACAUCUUACAAUUCAACUUAUUGUGAUUGUUUUUCCCAGUUUCUGUUAAUUAUGAAAGUGUUAAACUUAAGUGUCAAACUGAAGAAACACCAGAUUUGAACACAAGCUGUGUUGUCUUGGUGUUUGGCUAAAAGCCAUGUAUACAUAUUUCAUACGAUUUCUAGGAAUCUUCUAGGAAACCAGAAAAACAAAUGUAUCGAGCAUUAGGUCUAUUUUUAUAUACAAUGUCUUAUUAUUUUUUUACUUGUUCUCCAUCCGCAGGCCAAAGCGCUCAUGAGCCAACAAUCUUACACAGAGAUGUUGAAAAGUAAGCAAGACAAACAUUAGGCUGCCUUUUGUUAUACAUGCUGUUAUUGUGAUUGGCCGGGUGACGUAAAUAAAUGUGUGUCGGAACACAAGGGGUUAACAAGAGUCAGCCCGCUUUAGUAGUUGUUAUAUUUCAAUUGCCACACUCUACUGAUGGUCAUAAUGACUUAUCAGAAUUUAAUGGCAGGAGACACAGAACGAGGGCCAUUCUUAACCGGCUAAAUGAUCAGUGAUUAACAUAGCACUAAAAAUAGUUGUAUAAGAGCACUUUAACACAAGAGCCAUUUCCUUAGCCAAGACAGACAUUUGGUGUCUGCUCUAUCCAUCAAAUCCUAGUUUUACAUUCUAUAUUCUAGUUCUUUCCUCAACAGUUCACAUGAACUGUGGUCAAUGAUACAUACUGCAGUACUUGUUUGACCAGGAACCCUGUAGCGCUAUCCAAGAGAAAUACAUAUGUGUUUCAUGAAAAUAAUACAUUUAUGAGUUCACAGUACAAGCUACUAUAGAAUAUAUUUAAAUCUGUGCUUUAAUAUUUCCCCCUUUUAUGUUAAAUUGUUAUGGCUUAGAAUUGAAUAGAUAUUUUCCAUCUUUGGGGUUUGGUUAACUGAUUGGUGAUUACGUCUAUAUCAAUGUUCUAGAUUAUAUUGAUCAAAUGUGUGCCAACGUUCUGUAGUUUCCAAUGGCUCUUUUUGUUGAGCCAGAUUGCACACCCUGACAUCACAACUCGAAUAAUCGAGAAGGUGUGGCGUUCAUCAAAGCAAUGAAACAUCUGGAGGAAAUAGUAGUGAGUAACAUUUAGUUUUGUUGAGUGGAUUUAGCUUCAGAGAAAUAUAAGAUAUUGAGUCUUUAUCGUUAUCUUAGUAUGAUGUUACCUCUGGACGCCAGUAUUUUAAUUUGUGAGCAAAUGGCAGACUUAAAAUGGAUACUGAGAGUGAUCUGAUUUUAUUGCACCUUUUUGAACCUCACUUUUACCUUCCGAAAUUCCUCAAUAAUUUGACCUAAUCCUUUGACUGGGGCCUAAUAUUGUCCUGUGUUUUAACAGGCAACAGAGGGCAAAACAGAGCUGCAGAGCUUCCUUACCGCAGGCUCUGUUGAUUGGAAAACUGAACUGGAAAGAAACAGACAUUUAACUUCCAGGACAGUGUUGCAGACGAAAGAAAGCGGUUCCCACCAAAGCUUAUAUAAAGAUGGUGCCAUGGCAGGUAGCUCUUAUGACUUCCUGAAGUCCAUUUUGGGGUCUUUGCACACAAGGUGUCAUGGCUGUCGGCAGGUAUUGGAAUCGCUCUGGCGUCUUGUGUUACCGCCCGUUGCCCUGGAGACAAGAAGGGAGACAAAUGGAAUCGGAGCUGUCGGUUUCGAGGCAGAGGUGUCUUGAAAAGGCGUCACUGGACUACGGUUGAGGAGGUGCAGGAUUUGGCAGAACCAGUGGUGGAGAGUGAAACCCUGGAAGCCAUCGUGUUGGACUGAGUCUACCCUGCUCCGCUAACUCCUCAGGACAGACAAAUGUUGACACUCAACUGCAUCAAUAAAGUUGUUUUCUUGUCCCUUUAGGCAGUGUAGGGCAACUACUGGGGUAACUACACACAUUUGUUUAUAACACACACACACACACACACACACACACACACACACACACACACACACACACACACACACACACACACACACACACACACACACACACACACACACACACACACACACACACACACACACUUUGGCAGAGCCUGGGAAGGCCCGGGCUGUUCGGCUGCAGCGAGCGAGUCAACUGACCUACGCAGCAGCUGGCGUUCACGGCGACAUUUCCUAUUUCUGCCCAAGGUGGAUCGUGUAGCUCUCACUUUAUCACCCUUAGAGGCCGCGUGAAGGACAAAGCUCAGCCGCGGCCAUAAACAAAACUAACAUUUUCAUACAGGCCCCCUUUUUGUUCCGCCACACCAUGAGACGUGCUGUAGGCAGGGAUACUUGGAUUGUACGCAGUGCACCCCAGCGAACCGUCCGCUGAGGCACGUCCGCCACUUCCAAUUCAAAACACGCACACACACAGUCAUCACGGUUGUUGCCAACGCCGAGAGUAGAGCGGGGUGAUGGUGGGGUAGGAGCAGAAGCCAGCACCAACAGUAGGUUUCCACUCUUUAGCGCUAACACGCCAUCGCUCCACACCACCGGUCAUUUUUUUUACGAGUCGACUUGUGAGGCAGACCAGUGGUCAGCCGAGCCGAGAGCUGAAGUCCAAGUGUCUGGAUAAUCAGCCCGCCACUGGGCGAUGACAGCGGCCUAUUUCCCCUCUGCUGCUACUGGCUCCAGCCCUGCACGGGAACAACUUUGUUUGUAAUUAAAGGCAUGCGAUUCCUCUGGAAAUAGAAGGUCAUAAAUCUCAUGUAUGGAAGAGACUCUCCUAUCAAUAAUUCACAUGGGCUGUGAAACGCCGGCGACCUCACAUUAAAGAUGGCUUAGUUCUGAACCUUUUACUGCAUGCUAAAUAAUGUGGUACUAAAAAGUAAAUGUAUUUUUGCUCUUUGGCCGAGCCUUCAUUUGUUAGUUAUUAGCCAAAAUGUUUAUAUUCAUCUAUAAUUAUUUUAUGUAUUUUUUGUGGGUAUUGGUGGUUAGUCUUGAAAUUGAUUGUGCAUUUAUUAAGAUGAGUUGUAUGGGUUAUGACGGGAGCUGUUGGACAUUUUGUUACUGUUUUUCUGUCUUACCCGCCUAUUUCUAAAAAAGAGGCUUGAGGGCUUUAAUGUCUGAGAUUGCAAAGACAUACGGGCAACUACAAUUUCCCCCCUAGGAAUCGAACGACACCACACACACACACACACACACACACACACACACACACACACACACACACACACACACACACACACACACACACACACACACACACACACACACACACACACACACACACACACACACACACACACACACACACACACACUCUCUAACGGUCCCUCUUCUGCCUUAACUCCUAGUCUUAUAUUGGCUGCACAACCAGGUCCUGCUGCCAAGGAAACACACUCCGCCCCUCGCUGGCCUGAUAACAUUUAUUGUUGUAAUGGGAUUUUUUAAUGCCUGUCAUUAACACGCAGGAAACGAAGGUAAAGAGAUUGCCUUUUUUUUUUCUCCUGUGGUAUUUCAACUUUAUGACAUCAUGCUCAGAUAUGCCACUUUCCAUCAUCCCUCUUUAAGAUGUGUCGCUGUUUUUUUUGGUUUAAAAUGUGCACUUAAUUUAGUACAGGACCCCAAGAGCUGUCGUGGUGUUGUGAUGGAUGGUUCAUGUUCAGUAAAAGCCUUCCACAA